UACGUAGGUGGCGAGCGUUACUCGGAAUUACUAGGCGUAAAGCGCGUGUAGGCGGGAGCUUAAGUCCGCUGUUAAAUCUCAUGGCUCAACCAUGAAAUGCCGGCGGAUACUGGGUUUCUUGAAUUCGGUAGGGGAAACUGGAAUUCCAGGUGUAGCGGUGAAAUGCGUAGAUAUCUGGAAGAACGCCAAAGGCGAAAGCAGGUUUCUGGGCCGCAAUUGACGCUGAGACGCGAAAGCUAGGGGAGCAAACAGG
rnacentral:rRNA from 1 species